AGUAAUGCCUCAUCGAGAUAACCCUCGCCUCCAGAAAGACUACCCUAAAGCCCACCUCUGCUGAGAGCUUCAACCUGUUCUGAGGCCCCAGGGAACAAUCCUCGUCCUGGUCACAUAGUCCCGUAUUCAACGCUACAGCAUCCAAAAGAACAAAUUUCCUGCCAGGAUAAUAAAUGGAUUCUUUUGUGUUCGCCUUGACUCCUGUCACAUGACCCUCCUGAACCAUUCCUCAGCCAGGUGACUUGGCGGCGUAAAUCCCCAGAAGUUUCAGUUUCAACUUCUAAAAUGGACCAGCGAGUGGCCCUGGCUGCCCUCAGCCUUUCCUCCCAAACCACCACUGCAAAGGCCCCGGAGAAGAGGCAACAGAAGCAGAGAAGGAAAUGCAACUCUGGAGUGCAGAUAAGAAACCAAGGAUCAAUACGGGGAAGCACUCUACUUGAGCCCCAAAGCUAGAUCUGCAUGAGUCCACAUCCAGUGUUUAAAUGGAUCAUGCCAUCUGUCAGCCAUCUUUCAUAUCAUAAGUGCAACAAACAUUUGUUGGGCACCUGCUGCGCACCAGGCUUGAUGCCACACGUGGAGGAUUCAAAGACAAAUCCAAAGUAGAUUUGGAUGGAGCUCUUGACUCUCAAAGUCGCUGCCAACAAGCUCAUCAAGACAUAAAGCAAUGAGGGAGACCCCCAAAGAGUGGACACUCGAAUGAAUAAGGGAAUUUUUUCAAAAAAAUUUUUAAGUAGGCUCCAUACUCCAUGCCCAGCACGGGGCCCACUAGGGGGCUUGAACUCACGACCCAGAGAUCAAGACUUGAGCUGAGAUCAAGAGUCCAAUGCCUAACUGACUGAGCCACCCAGGUGCCCCAUGAAAGAAUUAAAUAAAUCCAUACACAAUGCCAGACUCUCUGAUAAACGCUCCAAAUUCCCUCACUUAAGCCUGAA